rnacentral:rRNA from 1 species
CUACGGGAGGCACCAGUCGAGAAUCUUCCGCAAUGGGCGAAAGCCUGACGGAGCGACGCCGCGUGCGGGAUGAAGGCCUUCGGGUUGUAAACCGCUGUCAGUGGGGAGCAAAUCCGGGAAACCGGUUGAGCUAUCCGCAGAGGAAGCGCAGGCUAAGUUCGUGCCAGCAGCCGCGGUAACACGAACUGCGCGAACGUUAUUCGGAAUCAUUGGGCUUAAAGAGUUCGUAGGCGGCCUAGUAAGUCGGGUGUGAAAUCCCUCGGCUCAACCGAGGAACUGCGCCCGAUACUGUUAGGCUUGAGGGAGACAGAGGUGAGCGGAACUGAUGGUGGAGCGGUGAAAUGCGUUGAUAUCAUCAGGAACACCGGUGGCGAAAGUGGCUCACUGGGUCUCUUCUGACGCUGAGGAACGAAAGCUAGGGGAGCGAACGGGAUUAGAUACCCUAGUAGUC